rnacentral:rRNA from 1 species
GCAGCAGCCGCGGGAAUACGGAGGGAGCUAGCGUUGUUCGGAAUUACUGGGCGUAAAGCGCGCGUAGGCGGUUAUUUAAGUCAGGGGUGAAAGCCCGGUGCUCAACACCGGAACAGCCCUUGAGACUGGAUAACUUGAAUCCAGGAGAGGUGAGUGGAAUUCCGAGUGUAGAGGUGAAAUUCGUAGAUAUUCGGAAGAACACCAGUGGCGAAGGCGGCUCACUGGACUGGUAUUGACGCUGAGGUGCGAAAGCGUGGGGAGCAAACAGGAUUAGAUACCCGUGUAGUCCCUGUCUCUUAUAA